AGUGAACGCUGGCGGUAGGCCUAACACAUGCAAGUCGAGCGAACAGAUGAGGAGCUUGCUCCUCUGACGUUAGCGGCGGACGGGUGAGUAACACGUGGAUAACCUACCUAUAAGACUGGGAUAACUUCGGGAAACCGGAGCUAAUACCGGAUAAUAUAUUGAACCGCAUGGUUCAAUAGUGAAAGACGGUUUUGCUGUCACUUAUAGAUGGAUCCGCGCCGCAUUAGCUAGUUGGUAAGGUAACGGCUUACCAAGGCAACGAUGCGUAGCCGACCUGAGAGGGUGAUCGGCCACACUGGAACUGAGACACGGUCCAGACUCCUACGGGAGGCAGCAGUAGGGAAUCUUCCGCAAUGGGCGAAAGCCUGACGGAGCAACGCCGCGUGAGUGAUGAAGGUCUUCGGAUCGUAAAACUCUGUUAUUAGGGAAGAACAAAUGUGUAAGUAACUAUGCACGUCUUGACGGUACCUAAUCAGAAAGCCACGGCUAACUACGUG
rnacentral:rRNA from 1 species